AGAAUCAACGCUGGCGGCGUGCCUCAGACAUGCAAGUCGUACGAUUAAAGCUCUCUUCGGAGAGUGUAUAGAGUGGCGCACGGGUGAGUAACACGUAAGUAAUCUACCUUUGGGUGGGGAAUAACAGUCGGAAACGACUGCUAAUACCGCAUAAUGCAGCGGCUCGACAUCGAGACAGUUGUUAAAGAAUUUAUUCGCCUAAAGAGGAGCUUGCGGCAGAUUAGCUAGUUGGUAAGGUAAUGGCUUACCAAGGCAACGAUCUGUA
rnacentral:rRNA from 1 species